rnacentral:lncRNA from 1 species
CACCUCUCCAACAAAAUCAGAAUCAUUUCAACUCUUGUUUUUAGUUAUAACUUUUUCCUUUUAUUUUCUCCCUCAAGCAUAGAAAAACCACUCCCUUGUUUCUCUUCUAAUUCUCACUCAUCACGCACAAAUGCUAGAAAAUUUUGAUCGCUCUCUUCUCAGGCAAUAAUUUACCCUAAUUUGUCUUCUCACACACAAUCCCCUCCCUCAUUUUAAGAGACGAGACUACCGACGUGCAAGCAGAGAGAGACCAACAAGCGGAGGGAUAGGCGACGGAGAGCAAUCGUUGCUAAGAUCUUCGUUGGAUUGAGGAUGUAAGGUAAUUAAAAGCUCCCCAAGCACUGUGAUAACAACGAGGUUCUUAAAGCUCUAUGUAAUGGAAUGGGUUGGAUCAUUGAAGAAGAUGGAAUAAUUUAUAGAAUGGUACUGUUCAAAUUCGUUUCUUUUGAUUGUGCAAUUUCUGAUCAAUUUUUUAAACAUUACUUUUAGGGCAAAUUUGGCAUCAUGUACUCUUCAUUUUCUUUUUAUGCACCAUUUGGACGAGUUUUAAGAAUUCUAAUGCUGGGAUUCUUUUACAGGCGUCUGUCAAAAAGGGAAAACUUGAAAUUGUUCUUUUUUUCUAAAAGAAAUCCAGUAAAGAGAUUUUUAUGCUCCUUUGGAGCUUCAAAGGGUAGAGAUUAUUGUUGUGUUGUGGGAACAUUCAGUGUAGCCUUGUCUAUGUAAUCGAAGCAAUAUACUUAACUUGUU